UACGAAGGGGGGCUAGCGUUGCUCGGAAUCACUGGGCGUAAAGGGUGCGUAGGCGGGUCUUUUAAGUCAGGGGUGAAAUCCUGGAGCUCAACUCCAGAACUGCCUUUGAUACUGAAGAUCUUGAGUUCGGGAGAGGUGAGUGGAACUGCGAGUGUAGAGGUGAAAUUCGUAGAUAUUCGCAAGAACACCAGUGGCGAAGGCGGACUCACUGGCCCGAUACUGACGCUGAGGCACGAAAGCG
rnacentral:rRNA from 1 species